rnacentral:rRNA from 1 species
GAUGAACGCUGGCGGCGUGCCUAAUACAUGCAAGUCGAGCGAACGGACGAGAAGCUUGCUUUUCUGAUGUUAGCGGCGGACGGGUGAGUAACACGUGGAUAACCUACCUAUAAGACUGGGAUAACUUCGGGAAACCGGAGCUAAUACCGGAUAAUAUUUUGAACCGCAUGGUUCAAAAGUGAAAGACGGUCUUGCUGUCACUUAUAGAUGGAUCCGCGCUGCAUUAGCUAGUUGGUAAGGUAACGGCUUACCAAGGCAACGAUGCAUAGCCGACCUGAGAGGGUGAUCGGCCACACUGGAACUGAGACACGGUCCAGACUCCUACGGGAGGCAGCAGUAGGGAAUCUUCCGCAAUGGGCGAAAGCCUGACGGAGCAACGCCGCGUGAGUGAUGAAGGUCUUCGGAUCGUAAAACUCUGUUAUUAGGGAAGAACAUAUGUGUAAGUAACUGUGCACAUCUUGACGGUACCUAAUCAGAAAGCCACGGCUAACUACGUGCCAGCAGCCGCGGUAAUACGUAGGUGGCAAGCGUUAUCCGGAAUUAUUGGGCGUAAAGCGCGCGUAGGCGGUUUUUUAAGUCUGAUGUGAAAGCCCACGGCUAUCCGUGGAGGGUCAUUGGAAACUGGAAAACUUGAGUGCAGAAGAGGAAAGUGGAAUUCCAUGUGUAGCGGUGAAAUGCGCAGAGAUAUGGAGGAACACCAGUGGCGAAGGCGACUUUCUGGUCUGUAACUGACGCUGAUGUGCGAAAGCGUGGGGAUCAAACAGGAUUAGAUACCCUGGUAGUCCACGCCGUAAACGAUGAGUGCUAAGUGUUAGGGGGUUUCCGCCCCUUAGUGCUGCAGCUAACGCAUUAAGCACUCCGCCUGGGGAGUACGACCGCAAGGUUGAAACUCAAAGGAAUUGACGGGGACCCGCACAAGCGGUGGAGCAUGUGGUUUAAUUCGAAGCAACGCGAAGAACCUUACCAAAUCUUGACAUCCUUUGACAACUCUAGAGAUAGAGCCUUCCCCUUCGGGGGACAAAGUGACAGGUGGUGCAUGGUUGUCGUCAGCUCGUGUCGUGAGAUGUUGGGUUAAGUCCCGCAACGAGCGCAACCCUUAAGCUUAGUUGCCAUCAUUAAGUUGGGCACUCUAAGUUGACUGCCGGUGACAAACCGGAGGAAGGUGGGGGUGACGUCAAAUCAUCAUGCCCCUUAUGAUUUGGGCUACACACGUGCUACAAUGGACAAUACAAAGGGCAGCGAAACCGCGAGGUCAGGCAAAUCCCAUAAAGUUGUUCUCAGUUCGGAUUGUAGUCUGCAACUCGACUACAUGAAGCUGGAAUCGCUAGUAAUCGUAGAUCAGCAUGCUACGGUGAAUACGUUCCCGGGUCU